rnacentral:rRNA from 1 species
UUUUAAAUUGCUGUGGUAUUUUGACUAUACAAAGGUAUUGAAAUAAGGCUUUUAUUGGGUGCUAAGAGAAUGGUUGAACAAGGAUUAACUUUCUUCUAAUUUUUAAUGGAAUUUGAUUUAAAAGUGAAGAGGCUUUUAUUAAUUUUUGGGACAAGAAGACCCUAUGAAUUUUUUUUAUGAAUUUAUUUAUUAUUCGUAAUUAAGAGAAUAAAAUAUUUUUAUAAGUUAAUUGGGGUGAUUUUUAAAUAUUGUUUAACUUUAAAAAAGAAGAAUUGGAACCAUAAUGAUUGGUUAAUUGAUUAAAAUACUCUAGGGAUAACAGCGUAAUUAUUUUGGAUAGUUCAUAUAGAUAAAAUAGUUUGCGACCUCGAUGUUGGAUUAAGAUACUUAUGUAAUGAAGUAGUUAC